GUGGGGAAUAUUGGACAAUGGGCGAAAGCCUGAUCCAGCCAUGCCGCGUGUGUGAAGAAGGUCUUCGGAUUGUAAAGCACUUUAAGUUGGGAGGAAGGGCAGUAAGUUAAUACCUUGCUGUUUUGACGUUACCGACAGGAUAAGCACCGGCUAACUUCGUGCCAGCAGCCGCGGUAAUACGAAGGGUGCAAGCGUUAAUCGGAAUUACUGGGCGUAAAGCGCGCGUAGGUGGUUCAGUAAGUUGGAAGUGAAAUCCCCGGGCUCAACCUGGGAACUGCUGUCAAAACUGCUGAGCUAGAGUACGGUAGAGGGUGGUGGAAUUUCCUGUGUAGCGGUGAAAUGCGUAGAUAUAGGAAGGAACACCAGUGGCGAAGGCGACCACCUGGACUGAUACUGACACUGAGGUGCGAAAGCGUGGGGAGCAAACAGGAUUAGAUACCCGUGUAGUCC
rnacentral:rRNA from 1 species